ensembl:lncRNA
CUGGGCACCACACACAAAGAGUAGCAGAGGAGACAUCUAGGCUGCAGAACUCAGAAGCUCUUCCAAGUCCUAUCUCUGGGAGCAGGCAGUGGCUGCGUCCUCACUGCCCAGUGGACUCCAGUUUGGGGAGGUCCUCCAGCUGAAAGGUGGGACUGCUCUACAAAACAUCAGGCAUGGACUUCGCAUAGGCCCUAAGAGUGCCACAUUGUGCACUUACUGGCUGAACACAUGGAAAAGUUAUGUGAAUGCUUCACCUGGCAGCCAGCUUGAAACUCCAGCACAAGGAACCACUGUGACUUCAUUUGGACUUCAAAGGGAAAUGCCACAGUUCUGCUGAACAAAUGCUCGAGAGUGCUGAGAGGCAGCAGUGAAGAGGUUAAAUAUAUAUUAAUGUGGGCCAAGAUUCUAUUUUUUACCAAAACUUGAAUGCAUGAAGAAAUGUGCCUGGGGCAGCUAUGGAAAACACAAGUAACAGAGUUCUACAGAGACUACAGGAUAAGGCCUGGAGGAAAAAUGACUCAUUGGCUGGACACAGGACAUCACUUUUCACCUUAUCACUCCUGCUAUUCUUC